rnacentral:rRNA from 1 species
UACGUAUGGAGCGAGCGUUGUCCGGAAUUAUUGGGCGUAAAGGGUACGCAGGCGGUUUAGAAAGUCAGAUGUUAAAGCGUGAGGCUCAACCUCAUAAAGCAUUUGAAACUUCUAGACUUGAGUAAUGGAAGGGAAAGUGGAAUUCCUAGUGUAGCGGUGAAAUGCGCAGAUAUUAGGAGGAAUACCGGUGGCGAAGGCGACUUUCUGGCCAUAAACUGACGCUGAGGUACGAAAGCGUGGGUAGCAAACAGG